rnacentral:rRNA from 1 species
CUUGCUGGGUGGAUUAGUGGCGAACGGGUGAGUAACACGUGAGUAACCUGCCCUUAACUCUGGGAUAAGCCUGGGAAACUGGGUCUAAUACCGGAUAGGAGCGUCCACCGCAUGGUGGGUGUUGGAAAGAUUUAUCGGUUUUGGAUGGACUCGCGGCCUAUCAGCUUGUUGGUGAGGUAAUGGCUCACCAAGGCGACGACGGGUAGCCGGCCUGAGAGGGUGACCGGCCACACUGGGACUGAGACACGGCCCAGACUCCUACGGGAGGCAGCAGUGGGGAAUAUUGCACAAUGGGCGCAAGCCUGAUGCAGCGACGCCGCGUGAGGGAUGACGGCCUUCGGGUUGUAAACCUCUUUCAGUAGGGAAGAAGCGAAAGUGACGGUACCUGCAGAAGAAGCACCGGCUAACUACGUGCCAGCAGCCGCGGUAAUACGUAGGGUGCGAGCGUUAUCCGGAAUUAUUGGGCGUAAAGAGCUCGUAGGCGGUUUGUCGCGUCUGUCGUGAAAGUCCGGGGCUUAACCCCGGAUCUGCGGUGGGUACGGGCAGACUAGAGUGCAGUAGGGGAGACUGGAAUUCCUGGUGUAGCGGUGGAAUGCGCAGAUAUCAGGAGGAACACCGAUGGCGAAGGCAGGUCUCUGGGCUGUAACUGACGCUGAGGAGCGAAAGCAUGGGGAGCGAACAGGAUUAGAUACCCUGGUAGUCCAUGCCGUAAACGUUGGGCACUAGGUGUGGGGACCAUUCCACGGUUUCCGCGCCGCAGCUAACGCAUUAAGUGCCCCGCCUGGGGAGUACGGCCGCAAGGCUAAAACUCAAAGGAAUUGACGGGGGCCCGCACAAGCGGCGGAGCAUGCGGAUUAAUUCGAUGCAACGCGAAGAACCUUACCAAGGCUUGACAUGUUCUCGAUCGCCGUAGAGAUACGGUUUCCCCUUUGGGGCGGGUUCACAGGUGGUGCAUGGUUGUCGUCAGCUCGUGUCGUGAGAUGUUGGGUUAAGUCCCGCAACGAGCGCAACCCUCGUUCCAUGUUGCCAGCACGUAAUGGUGGGGACUCAUGGGAGACUGCCGGGGUCAACUCGGAGGAAGGUGAGGACGACGUCAAAUCAUCAUGCCCCUUAUGUCUUGGGCUUCACGCAUGCUACAAUGGCCGGUACAAUGGGUUGCGAUACUGUGAGGUGGAGCUAAUCCCAAAAAGCCGGUCUCAGUUCGGAUUGGGGUCUGCAACUCGACCCCAUGAAGUCGGAGUCGCUAGUAAUCGCAGAUCAGCAACGC